UUUUUAUUGGUCUCAUGAAAAAAACAAAAGGGGUAACACUGUCGUUUUAAUCAAAUGAAACAUGAGGGGUAACACUGUCGUUUUUAUCAUAUGAAACAUGAGGGGUGACACUGUCAUUUUUCUUUGGUCGUCAUGAAAAAAAAACACAAGGGGUAACACUGUCGUUUUUUAUUGGUCGUCAUGAAAAAAAACAUAAGGGAUAACACUGUUGUUUUUUAUUGGUCGUCAUGAAAAAAAACAUAAGGGGUAACACUGUUGUUUUUUAUUGGUCGUCAUGAAAAAAAACAUAUGGGGUAACACUGUUGUUUUUUAUUGGUCGUCAUGAAAAAAAACAUAAGGGGUAACACUGUUGUUUUUUAUUGGUCGUCAUGAAAAAAAACAUAAGGGGUAACACUUGUUGUUUUUUAUUGGUUGUCAUGAAAAAAACCAUAAGGGGUAACACUGUUGUUUUUUAUUGGUCGUCAUGAAAAAAAACAUAAGGGGUAACACUGUCGUUUUUUAUUGGUCGUCAUGAAAAAAAACAUAAGGGGUAACACUGUCGUUU
ensembl:lncRNA